rnacentral:rRNA from 1 species
UACGUAGGGUGCAAGCGUUGUCCGGAAUUAUUGGGCGUAAAGAGCUCGUAGGCGGUCUGUCGCGUCGGAUGUGAAAACCCAGGGCUCAACCCUGGGCCUGCAUUUGAUACGGGCAGACUAGAGUUCGGUAGGGGAGACUGGAAUUCCUGGUGUAGCGGUGAAAUGCGCAGAUAUCAGGAGGAACACCGGUGGCGAAGGCGGGUCUCUGGGCCGAUACUGACGCUGAGACGCGAAAGCAUGGGGAGCAAACAGG